UGAAUGUACUGGAGGCAUGCCUAGAAUGGCGGCAUAAUCUAAAAGUCAUCUUACUUCCGAUCAGGAUGUUUUCAAUCUUAUUUUUAAUUGUGUGUUUAUCUCUUUCCCAUAUUCACAAUACUCCAAGCCAAAUUAGUACUUGUAGUUAAUAUUAGUAAAUAUUAAUAUUACUAAAAUAUAUUCUGACUAAAUAACAAUAUUAGUAAAAAUUAAUAUUAGUAAAUUAACAUUACUAGGUCCUCAUAGGGCUGAUCUGUUUGAUAUGCUUAUUUCCAACUCUGCAAUAAAAGGUAACUAAAUCUAAAGAUGGUUAAAAGGUAUCACUCUUAAAAUUAUUUCUUCUCCAUUAGGGUGAACCUGGAGAGCCUGGAUUGGUCGGUUUCCAGGGACCUCCCGGCCGCCCUGGGCAUGUGGGACAGAUGGGUCCAGUUGGAGCUCCAGGGAGACCAGUAAGUACCUGGACACAGGUGCCCACUCUAGGACCAUCGUCCGGUCAUCCCUUCCAGAUGCCACUUCUUCAAUCGUUGACUCCAGAUGAGAGCUUUAAGAACAACUAUGAUGCUUAUAGGCGUAGCAGAGAACAUCAAGACAAAACGGACCAUUCCUUGCACACAUUUUGCUGCUGUUAAGGUUGAAGAAUAAGGGCUUAAAAUUAUGGUCACCAGCUCUCUGCCAGUUAUGUCAAAUUUUGACUUGGUCCCAGCAGGGUGCCCUUCCAUCCCCACCC
rnacentral:sRNA from 1 species